GAAAAGAAUAAGGAAGACAAUAGUAACAAGUAACAACCAACAUACAGACACAUUGUGUACUCAUUCACCACUCAACCAAAGAAAAUGUGGAAAUGUCCUAAGCCUACUCGUCUCCCCGCAAUAUUAAUCAAAGUACAAAACUACCCAUACUCACAUUUCAAAGAAUCAUCCAUUCCAAGGGGUAUAAACGUCAUUCACACACUUCUUCAAAGCCUUCAUACCAAAAAGAAGAUGAAGAACAAGAUAGAAAACGCAC
rnacentral:misc_RNA from 1 species